CGAGCACGCGCGUGUGGCAUAUCAAUAAGCGGAGGAAAAGAAACUAACAAGGAUUCCCUUAGUAACGGCGAGUGAAGCGGGAAGAGCUCAAAUUUGAAAUCUUCAAGGUUUUACCUUGACGAAUUGUAGUUUAAAGAAGUGUUUUCUGCUGAAGUUUUGGUAAAAGUUCUUUGGAAUAGGACAUCAUAGAGGGUGAGAAUCCCGUAUUUGACCAUUAUUUUCCAGCUUUGUGAUACACUUUCAAAGAGUCGGAUUGUUUGGGAAUGCAGUCCAAAAUGGGUGGUAAAUUUCAUCUAAAGCUAAAUAUUGGCGAGAGACCGAUAGCGAACAAGUACUCGUGAGGGAAAGAUGAAAAGAACUUUGAAAAGAGAAUUAAACAGUACGUGAAAUUGUCAAAAGGGAAGCGUUUGACACCAGUGUUGUUUUCUCGAAAAUCAAUUAAAAAUGGCUCGAUUUCGUAUUGUUGAGACCUUAAAAGCUCACUGUACAUUUUUCGUGUCUUUUUUAAUGCACUUUUCGUUUAACAAGUCAACAUCAGUUUCUUUUGUUGUAAAAGGGUCAUUGGAAGGUGGCUUUCUUUUCGGAGAAAGUGUUUAUAGCCUUUGGCCUCUGCAAUCGGAGAGACUGAGGUCUGCAGCGUAGACUCUUCGGGGUUAGAUACAUUUGUGCUAAGUUAUAGCUUUUUAUAGACAACUUGUUGACUAUAAUUAGUCCUGUAGCUUACUCGCUUACUGCUAUUUUACCUACGCUUAGGAUGUUGAAGAUGUAGCACAUCAU
rnacentral:rRNA from 1 species